rnacentral:lncRNA from 1 species
AUGGUAGAAACUAUUUGUGGCUCAUCUGAUAGCUGUUGUGAUAACAAAUGCAUCUUCCUUUAUACGACCAUAUUGUCAGUGCGAGGGGCAUCUGACCCUGAAGAGCAUUUCAGGAGCACCACUGUGAUUAUCGGAGAUGUACCAAGCAGUUUUUUCCUACUUGAGGAAAAAAAAAGUGACAAGUGAAUUUACUAAACUGUGGAUAAACUCUAACAAUAGCUGCUAAUUGCCACUGGCUGCCUCUUCUUUUACUUUCUAAAAGUAUGUUCUGACUUACAUGGAGUUUUCAGCUUCACCAAUAUGGCUCCGUUCCUAAGUACAUUUUCAUAAUACAGGCAAUUAAAUUGUGGAAUAGUCUUCCAAGAGAUGCAGCAAAAACAUGAUUGCUUUGGCCUACCUAGCUGAAAUGUUUCUGUGGGGAAGAAUCGUGAGCUCACGGAUAAAUAGUACCACAGAUUAUCCUCCCAACACUAAUUUCGGAGACUCUCUCGGGAAAUUAUGAAGGCUUUCAAGGUCCUCAUAUUCCCCUUUUGAAGAACAGAUUACAUUUUGAGAUCCACAGAUUCCACCUGUCCAGUGGAGAAGAGUAAAUUUUAGAAGCGAAUUGCUCCAUUUUACAAUUUGGGGCAAAUACACUGGGAUUUUUUCAGAUGUUUGCUCAGUCUGUCUAGGAGGAGAAAGUUGGCAGUAUUUGCAGUUUCCAAAAACAGGUGUGAAAUAAAUUUAAGGUUUAUAGGGUGAUGAAUACCCCACUGAAAUCAGCCUAGCUCUCAGAUGGCCAUGGUUUGCAACUGAGGAAAGGAUGCCAGAAAUCUGUGGAGCUCUAGGCUGUUGAUUGCAAAUCGCUACUUAUAUACCCUGCCAAUUUUGUCUCUUCCCUAGGUGCAAAUGGCAGCCAUUCCAGUAAGUGUCUGUGGGCCCGAGUGAUACUUAUAUUUUUUUUUUUGCUAGUAAUUCCAGAUUUCAUAAAGGAGAGUGACAGAGAGAGUUCGCAGAUUUUGAAGCUUGCUAUUAACAUUUUUAAAAAGCAAAAUGUUUAGCAUCUCUACUCGGUAGCAGAUGCUUUAAAUCACUAAUUAUUGCCUCAACGUCUGCUCCUAGAAAUAAAAAGUUUGGGGUAUCCACCCAAACCCUACUUUACAAAUGUGUAUGCCUGAUCUGUUCUUGAUAAAUUCAACCAGGAUUAUUUUCCUCCUGAGGAUCCCCCCAAAGAAAAGAGGGGUGUAUGAUCAUGGAUCUGAAGUCAUCACCAUCUCCAAUCCUUAGGGAAGCUAGUUUGGUAUAAAUUCUAAAUCAGCCAAAAAUCAACAAAAAUAUCCCAAUUCACAGCUCAGAGAGGCUUGAUGGAAAAUGAACAUUGCUACAAAGAAUCAAAGAAUACAAACGUUUUCUUAAUAAUCAACCCACCAACUACUCCAAAAACGUUUCUACCAAACUGAUGUGUUCCAUCAUGAGGGUCAAGUUUUUAAAAUUAAAUAACAUGAUGAACAAUAAAAAGAAAGAGACCUAUCAAAUUAAUCAUCACAAUAUCUAGCA